UCUGAGCUUUAGAGAUGAGGCAAUAUUUUUACAGUAAUUUCUUUAUCUGAUUUCAUCCUGUUUACAGAAGCUGCCGUUUGGAACAUUUCCCCCCCUACACCACCAUUUUUGAGAUGGCUUUUCUUUAAAUAAAUGUAUAUUAAAAAAUAGCGCAGACAACAGAGUCAGCUUCCUGCUUGCUCUUUAUUGUGAGGGAGAUAAGGCUGCUAAAUGCUGUGCUAUCUGACUCUGGUUCGGUGCGUGACCUACAUGGAUCAAGAUGGAGAUUUAAUGAUUAAGCUUAACUCCUUUAUCUUCAGCAAGGGGGGAGGAAAGAGUACCCAAACAAACUACUUAUGUUGCAGCAUGAUAGAAUUACAUUUCAACACAAUAAUUAACUAUCUGACACAUUCCUGCGAGGCUGCAGAUGUCACUAAUGGCUCCGAAAUGCCCCCUCUGUGUUGUCAUAACCCAGAGCUCUUCGCAGCAGCCAAAACAAGCACGUACUCUGAAGAGCAUCAAGGCUGGCAAAAUGCAUUUCAUCCCUUCUCAGCUGAUUCAUACAGCCCACAGGGAGCUUUUCCUCCUUCACCUCCCAGUGUGAAUGUGGAUGUAUGAGCAAUGAAUGGCAAUGGGAAAGGAAAUGCAGAGAAACCACACAACGAUUUACUGGGGCUUUAGCAAAAUAUUAUCAUUCUUAAUGUUUGUCGGCAUGUGGCAACUUUCUUUGAACCAGGGAUAGUUUAAAUUCCUUCUUGCUUUGAAGACUUAAUUUUCUCCCAUAAAGAUUAUGGAGACUGUCUUGGAUAAUUUUAGGACUUAGGCACACUAUUUGCUGAGCUCAGGCAUGUUUUGGACCAUGUAUAUUUUAUUUGCCACCUGCCAGCUCGUGUUCACAUUUUCCCAAAGUCUAGAGGUCACAGACAAAUCUUGAGCAAAGCCAUUUGCUACGGCCCAGAUCCCGCGUUGCACGUGCAUGGCCUGAGAGCCCUGCUUGCAUACAGGCACCACUCAAAACUUAUUAAAUGAUGUUUCCAGGCAGAGCUAGAUCCCCAGCCUUGCAAACAGUGGCUCCGGUAAGUAACUUUGCAGACGGCCACAUGACAACCGCAGGCAUGACGUGGUGUCUGUCUCGUUGUUUGCUGGUGGCACUCGGGGGCCACAGCCUGGGAGGAGAACAUCGGGCUGGAGGGCAAAGGAGAUGUCUGGGCACUACACAGGGCUCGUCUGGGUCCUCUACAGACUGAAGCUCAUCCCCUGGCCAUGACGCAAAAUCCUCCAAGCUCAGUGAGCCAGGGUUGGUAGGCAACUGUGAGCCAACAGAAAUGCCUCAGUCGCUCUGAAUACAGCCAAGCCAGGAAUUCGCCCAAUCUCUGAUUUGGCCAACGCAGAAUGGACAAAAAACAUUUGGAGGUGACAUGAGAAAUCACCGUGCUCCAGCCCUGGGGACUUUUAUUAAGGAGAAGGUGGGGAUGAGGCCUGAAGACAGCACAUCAGCAUCAAACACCCAGCUCUUUGGUUAACAGGGGAAUGCUCUGAAAAGGACUGAUAGAUGAAACCCAAGGCAGACAAAUUCAAAAUAAAGCCUGUAGACAUAGCA
ensembl:lncRNA